GACAAACCGUGCGAACGUUGUUCGGAAUCACUGGGCUUAAAGGGCGCGUAGGCGGGCGAUCCCGUCCGGGGUGAAAUCUUUCGGCUUAACCGGAAAAUUGCCUUGGAGACCGAUCGUCUGGAGGGAGGUAGGGGCAGGUGGAACUUCCGGUGGAGCGGUGAAAUGCGUUGAUAUCGGAAGGAACACCGGUGGCGAAGGCGGCAUCCUGGACCGGUAUUGACGCUGAGGCGCGAAAGCCAGGGGAGCAAACGGG
rnacentral:rRNA from 1 species